CAAAAACGAAAAUGUUUCUCUUAAGUCUCUUGAGUUUACAGUUCCCAUAUCUCUGGUUGAUGACUCCAGAUUCAGUCGUGUCUGGCUCCUUUUUCAAUACCAUGGGUAACAUGAUGUUCUCUUAUGAGUAGUCAUGAAAUAACUGGCCAUUUCUCUUUUUAGGGGAAGGAAAUGAGCUAAGAUCUUCCUAUGUAGGUCUCUCUUGCCUUAACAGUCUUGAUCCUCUUGCCUCAGACUCCUGAGUGGCGGCAUUGCUAUACUCCCUUUAUGGUGAUUUGUCUCCCCUUUGCUGCUUUCUGCUCUAUUUUUAGGUCUAUUUUAUGUAUGAAUGUUUGUCUUCACGUAUGUAUAUGCACCACGUACUUGCCGUGGGUUGUUGUGAGCUUUGGAUGCUGGGAACUGAACCUGGGUCCUUUCGAAGAAGAGUGAAUGCUCUUAACUGCAGAAUCCCAUCCUGCUGUCUGUUUUUACAAUGGCUCACAGGGCUUUGAGACUUUCGUACUUUGUCUCCUCUGUCCUGUGCUGUGUUUGUGGGGUUCUGUGUUUGUGAGAUGCUGUGUUUGUGGGGUACUGUUUAUAGGGUGCUUGCUCACCUGCAUUGGUGACAGACAUUGUUCGUGAGCUUUGGGGCUCACUCUACAGUUCUGUUUUAUGUGGAGAU
rnacentral:lncRNA from 1 species